GGGCCCGCACAAGCAGUGGAGCAUGUGGUUUAAUUCGAUGCAACGCGAAGAACCUUACCAGGCCUUGACAUCCUCGGAACUUUCUAGAGAUAGAUUAGUGCCUUCGGGAGCGAAGAUACAGGUGCUGCAUGGCUGUCGUCAGCUCGUGUCGUGAGAUGUUGGGUUAAGUCCUAUAACGAGCGCAACCCUUACCCUUAAUUGCCAGCGGUUAGGCCGGGAACUCUAAGGAGACUGCCGAUGACAAAUCGGAGGAAGGUGGGGACGACGUCAAGUCAUCAUGGCCCUUACGUGUAGGGCUACACACGUGCUACAAUGGCCGGUACAAACGGUUGCGAACCCGCGAGGGGAAGCUAAUCCGAGAAAGCCGGUCGUAGUCCGGAUUGGGGUCUGCAACUCGACCCCAUG
rnacentral:rRNA from 1 species